rnacentral:rRNA from 1 species
UACGGAGAAUUAGGGUUCGAUUCCGGAGAGGGAGCCUGAGAAACGGCUACCACAUCUACGGAAGGCAGCAGGAGCGAAAAUUGCCCAAUCCCGACACGGGGAGGCAGUGACGAGAAAUAACAACUCUUGGUUAUUCUAAGAAGUGUAAUGAGGAUAAUUUAAAACCCUUACCGAAAGCAAUUGGAGGGCAAGUCUGGUGCCAGCAGCCGCGGUAAUUCCAGCUCCAAUAGCGUAUAUUAAAGUUGUUGCAGUUAAAAAGCUCGUAGUUGAAGUUCUGGCUGUUCGAUCCUCGAGCUCUGUAGCCGAGGACUCGACAGUCAUCCGCUUGCAAAUAUAUGUUCGCCUUUAACCGGGUGGCUAUAUGAGUAAGCAAUUUACCUUGAGAAAAACAGAGUGUUCCAGGCAGGUUUGUCCGGAAUGCAUUAGCAUGGAAUAAUAGAAUAUGACUGAAGUCGAUUUAUUGGUUUGAGGCUUUAGUAAUGAUUAAUAGGAACAGUCGGGGGCAUUGGUACUUGACAGUCAGAGGUGAAAUUCUAGGAUUUGUCAAAGACUAACAAAUGCGAAAGCAUUUGCCAAGGAUGUUUUCAUUAAUCAAGAACGAAAGUUAGGGGAUCAAAGACGAUCAGAUACCGUCCUAGUCUUAACUAUAAACUAUACCGACUCGGAUUCAGAUGAAUCAUAAAGUUCAUUUGGGACCGUAGGAGAAAUCAAAGUUUUUGGGUUCUGGGGGAAGUAUGGUCGCAAGGCUGAAACUUAAAGGAAUUGACGGUUUUGCACCACCAUGGAGUGGAGUCUGCGGCUUAAUUUGACUCAACACUGGGAAACUCAUCAGGGCAAGAAGAUUGUAGGAUUGACAGAUUGAGAGUUCUUUCUUGAUUGGUCUAGUGGUGGUGCAUGGCCGUUCUUAGUUGGUGGAGUGAUUUGUCUGGUUAAUUCCGUUAACGAACGAGACCUUAACCUGCUAACUAGUACACAGAUGACAAAUCUGUGAUACUUCUUAGAGGGACUAUGUGAUGUAAUCACAUGGAAGUUUGAGGCAAUAACAGGUCUGUGAUGCCCUUAGAUGUCCUGAGCUGCACGCGUACUACAAUGGUGCUUUCAACGAGCUUUUCCUGAUCCGAAAGGAUUUGGGUAAUCUUUUUAGUGAGCACCGUGCUUGGGAUAGAUCUUUGUAAUUAUGGAUCUUGAACUAGGAAUUCCUAGUAAGCGCGCGUCAUCAGCGCGUGCUGAUUACGUCCCUGCAAAAUGUACACACCGCCCGUCGCUAUUACCGAUUGAGUGUAAAGGUGAACCUUCUCGAUAGACGCAAGUUUAGAAAUUAAGUAAACCUUUGCACUUAGAGGAAAUAAAA